AAUGAUUGGAAAUUAUGAAAUUAUCGUCAUUAGUAACUAUUGAAAAAAGUAAACAAUAAUACCGAUAAUAUGAGUUUCUUUAAAUAUUAGAUUUUUUUACUUUGCACGGUGAUUACGGACGCUAUGCAAAAUCAAUUUCUCUUAAUAAAUGGACAUCGUUUCAUUGUAAAAUAAGUUGCACAGCAGCCAACUUUUAGUCUACGAUUGUUUUGUUGAAAUCUCCGAGCAUCUAAGCGGUCUUUUUAGACUUAAGCGUUACUGCCGAAUUUAGUUGAAUGUUACUGACAUGAAUACACGUAACACGGUAUACCGAACCUAAGUGAUGAAGAGAUGAAUCAAAAAUUCUAUAUAAACAAAUAAGAAUGUCUUCGGCGAUGUUAGCAUUUGAAAGUAUAAAAAUAUCUAAUCCGUGAUGAAUUCUAUAAAGUACUCACAUAAUUGCUUUUGGUCCCCGUGGAAACGAUAACUUGCAUGGAUCAACUCCGAACACACAAUCUACACCACGACGAGGCUAAACCAAAGUAGUCUGCACUGCCAAAAAAGUUUUUACGGCGCUAAUUUUUGAAGUGUGAUAAUGAGUAAAACAGCAAUAGGACACAUUGAUGUAAAAGCUUGGGAAAAGAGGUCGGUUCUAGUUGCGAGUGGGAUAAUCUACAGGGCUUAAGAAGCAUGUGCUAGGUAAUGGCUAUGGGAGGAUAUCAUACGCCUAUAAACUUAUAGAGUAAACAAUGGAACUUUUAAAAAAAAUAAAUAAACACAUGAAGCUACUAAUAUACGAGAAUGUUUAGGUAACUUAAAUAUUAAUAAAAUCAUACUUUUAUAAC